rnacentral:lncRNA from 1 species
CAUCCUUUUUGAAUGUAGUAUGAAAUGCUUGAAAUUUAUGUAAAAAUAUGUAGUUGUUUUUUUUAGCAAAAUUAUUGUUUCUUUCUCAAAGGUGAAUGCAGAAUGAAAGUUUAAUCAUUUUCAGUGGUCCUGUUAUACGCCUUAUUUGUAGAUACUUGGAAGACAUAUGGUAAUAUUUGUAACAAAAUGUGAACAAUAUUAAACCGAUAGACAUAGUGCAUAUUUCUCAAUCAAACUCAUAUAUCCAAAUGGUUGGUGUGCUAAUAUGUAUCAUGCGGGACUGGAUCUUAAAACAAACUAUAAAUUGUUUACAGAGCCCACCUUCAAGCUAUGAUAAAAAAAUUCACAAAAUACAAAUCAAACUGAUACAAAAUUAGGAUAGGUACUUCCCAAGGCAUAACACUAAACUUUAAGAAGCAAUGUGUCAUCCUCAGUCGGCUACACAGACAACUACAUGCACCAUGACCACCCCAAUCGUGCAUUAGAACCAAUUUGGUUAGAGACAAGAGAACAAUAGUUGGAUCUCCAU